GAUGAACGCUGGCGGCGUGCCUAAUACAUGCAAGUCGAGCGAACAGACGAGGAGCUUGCUCCUCUGACGUUAGCGGCGGACGGGUGAGUAACACGUGGAUAACCUACCUAUAAGACUGGGAUAACUUCGGGAAACCGGCGCUAAUACCGGAUAAUAUAUUGUACCGCAUGGUUCUAUAGUGAAAGACGGUUUUGCUGUCUCUUAUAGAUUGAUCCGCGCCGCAUUAGCUAGUUGUUAAGGUAACGGCUUACCAAGGCAACGAUGCGUAGCCGACCUGAGAGGGUGAUCGGCCAAACGGGAACUGAGACACGGACCAGACUCCUACGGGAGGCAGCAGUAGGGAAUCUGCCGCAAUGGGCGAAAGCCUGACGGAGCAACGCCGCGUGAGUGAGGAAGGUCUUCGGAUCGUAAAACUCUGUUAUUAGGGAAGAACAAAUGUGUAAGUAACUAUGCACGUCUUGACGGUACCUAAUCAGAAAGCCACGGCUAACUACGUG
rnacentral:rRNA from 1 species